UACGGAGGGUGCGAGCGUUGUCCGGAAUCAUUGGGCGUAAAGGGCGCGUAGGUGGCCCGGUCAGUCUUUGGUGAAAGCGCGGGGCUCAACCCUGCGUCGGCCAGGGAUACUGCCGCGGCUCGAGCACUGUAGAGGCAGGCGGAAUUCCGGGUGUAGCGGUGGAAUGCGUAGAGAUCCGGAAGAACACCGGUGGCGAAGGCGGCCUGCUGGGCAGUAGCUGACGCUGAUGCGCGACAGCGUGGGGAGCAAACAGG
rnacentral:rRNA from 1 species